UUUGUUGAUGGAACUAGAUCAAUUGAAAGGUUUGAUGCAAAAAAUUGUAGCUGUCAUUCUUCUGCUGCUGUUCCUCAGUCUGUUGUCCCUUCUUGUUUCAAUCUUUUGCUUUUAUUCAGAUUUGAGGAACAGUUUGUUGUUGCGUUGUUUAGCUCCUUCAAAUUCAGGUAUACAUUUUGAAACAGUAUUAACUGCUUAUACUCUUGCUGUGAAAUUUAUCAUGAUGUAGUGGAGUUUGAUUUCUAAUUGCUAAAGUUGUCUCUCUGUUUUGUUUA